rnacentral:rRNA from 1 species
GAUGAACGCUAGCGACAGGCUUAACACAUGCAAGUCGAGGGGCAGCAUAGAAGUAGCAAUACUUUGGUGGCGACCGGCGCACGGGUGAGUAACGCGUAUGCAACCUACCUAUCAGAGGGGAAUAACCCGGCGAAAGUCGGACUAAUACCGCAUAAAACAGGGGCACCGCAUGGUGAUAUUUGUUAAAGAAAUUCGCUGAUAGAUGGGCAUGCGUUCCAUUAGGUAGUUGGUGAGGUAACGGCUCACCAAGCCGACGAUGGAUAGGGGAACUGGGAGGUUGGUCCCCCACACUGGUACUGGGACACGGACCAGACUCCUACGGGAGGCAGCAGUGAGGAAUAUUGGUCAAUGGGCGAGAGCCUGAACCAGCCAAGUCGCGUGAAGGAAGAAGGAUCUAUGGUUCGUAAACUUCUUUUGCAGGGGAAUAAAGUGCGGGACGUGUCCUGUUUUGUAUGUACCCUGAGAAUAAGGAUCGGCUAACUCCGUGCCAGCCGCCGCCGUAAUAC